rnacentral:rRNA from 1 species
UGGGCGCAAGCCUGAUCCAGCCAUACCGCGUGGGUGAAGAAGGCCUUCGGGUUAGUAAAGCCCUUUUGUUGGGAAAGAAAUCCAGCUGGCUAAUACCCGGUUGGGAUGACGGUACCCAAAGAAUAAGCACCGGCUAACUUCGUGCCAGCAGCCGCGGUAAUACGAAGGGUGCAAGCGUUACUCGGAAUUACUGGGCGUAAAGCGUGCGUAGGUGGUCGUUUAAGUACGUUGUGAAAGCCCUGGGCUCAACCUGGGAACUGCAGUGGAUACUGGGCGACUAGAGUGUGGUAGAGGGUAGCGGAAUUCCUGGUGUAGCAGUGAAAUGCGUAGAGAUCAGGAGGAACAUCCAUGGCGAAGGCAGCUACCUGGACCAACACUGACACUGAGGCACGAAAGCGUGGGGAGCAAACAGGAUUAGAUACCCUGGUAGUCCACGCCCUAAACGAUGCGAACUGGAUGUUGGGUGCAAUUUGGCACGCAGUAUCGAAGCUAACGCGUUAAGUUCGCCGCCUGGGGAGUACGGUCGCAAGACUGAAACUCAAAGGAAUNGACGGGGGCCCGCACAAGCGGUGGAGUAUGUGGUUUAAUNCGAUGC